GGUGGGUUGGCUCAGUGGUUAGAGCGUAGGUGUCGUGAACGAAAAGUUGCGAGAUCGAAUCCCGCUAGAGGCUG
rnacentral:tRNA from 1 species